rnacentral:rRNA from 1 species
GCUCCUACCGAUUGGAUGACUCGGUGAAAUGACUGGACUAUUGGAAGGUCAUUAAAUCACGUUAUCUAGAGGAAGGAGAAGUCGUAACAAGGUAACG